rnacentral:rRNA from 1 species
CUUGACACUGAACAUUGAGCCUUGAUGUGUAGGAUAGGUGGGAGGCUUUGAAGUGUGGACGCCAGUCUGCAUGGAGCCGACCUUGAAAUACCACCCUUUAAUGUUUGAUGUUCUAACGUUGACCCGUAAUCCGGGUUGCGGACAGUGUCUGGUGGGUAGUUUGACUGGGGCGGUCUCCUCCUAAAGAGUAACGGAGGAGCACGAAGGUUGGCUAAUCCUGGUCGGACAUCAGGAGGUUAGUGCAAUG